AACAGAUUGUUCAGUGGUGCUUGAGGUCAUUGCUUUGAUUUUGAGUUGAAGUGACUGAACUCGAAUGUUAUCCAAAACUAAGGCUCUUCUCAUCUUCUUACCCAAAUCUAUAGUCUUUCCUGAGCAAAGUUCUCUAUGUUUCAUCUCCAAUGUAGUGGAUUCUCUUCCUUUUCCUAAGUUUUUCAAAGCAGAAUCAUCAGUUCUCAUAAAGAUCAACAAAUCUUGUCUCUUUGUAAAAAGUAACUAUACUAAUCCCAAAUCAAUACAAGGAAAAAGGAUAAUAUAAAGUAGUGUAAAAGCUAAUGACUUUAACUAAGAGUUUAACCUUAAAUUACGCCAUUAAAUAUUAAACUAAAGCAAAAGAAACAGUAUCUCUACGGUUGGUGAGCCUUUGAUGAAAAUAGAACUGACCAAGACUGCGAGAAAAACAUGAA